UUUGACAUCCCGAUCGUACUCGUAUGGAAACAUAGGGGUCAGUUCGGCUGGAUCGGUGACAGGUGCUGCAUGGCUGUCGUCAGCUCGUGUCGCGAGAUGUUGGGUUAAGUCCCGCAACGAGCGCAACCCUUAUCCCUAGUUGCCAUCAGGUAAAGCUGGGAACUCUGGGGAGACUGCCGGUGAUAAACCGGAGGAAGGCGGGGAUGACGUCAAGUCCUCAUGGCCCUUAUAUCCAGGGCUACACACGUGCUACAAUGGCCGGUACAAAGGGUCGCAAUACCGCGAGGUGGAGCUAAUCCCAAAAAGCCGGUCUCAGUUCGGAUUGGAGUCUGCAACUCGACUCCAUGAAGUCGGAAUCGCUAGUAAUCGCGUAUCAGCGUGACCGCGGUCGAAUACGUUCCCGGGCCUU
rnacentral:rRNA from 1 species